rnacentral:rRNA from 1 species
AGCUUCGGUAGACUUAAGAGAUGGAGAGCAGCGGACGGGUGAGUAACGCGUGGGAAACCUGCCCUUGACAGGAGGAUAGCCGAGAGAAAUUUCGAUUAAUACUUCAUAAAGCAGAGCAUUCGCAUGGAUGAACUGCCAAAGAAUUAUCGGUCAAGGAUGGUCCCGCGUCUGAUUAGCUGGUUGGUAAGGUAGCGGCUUACCAAGGCGACGAUCAGUAGCCGGCCUGAGAGGGUGAACGGCCACAUUGGAACUGAGACACGGUCCAGACUCCUACGGGAGGCAGCAGUGGGGAAUAUUGCACAAUGGGCGAAAGCCUGAUGCAGCAACGCCGCGUGAAGGAAGAAGGCUUUCGAGUCGUAAACUUCUGUCCAAAGGGAAGAAUAAUGACGGUACCUUUGAAGAAAGCCCCGGCUAACUACGUGCCAGCAGCCGCGGUAAUACGUAGGGGGCGAGCGUUAUCCGGAAUUACUGGGCGUAAAGAGUAUGUAGGUGGUUAAGUAAGCGUAGGGUUUAAGGCGACAGCCCAACUGUCGUAUGCCCCGCGAACUGUUUAACUUGAGUACAGGAGGGGAAGGCGGAAUUCCUAGUGUAGCGGUGAAAUGCGUAGAUAUUAGGAGGAACACCAGUGGCGAAGGCGGCCUUCUGGACU